rnacentral:rRNA from 1 species
GACGAACGCUGGCGGCGUGCUUAACACAUGCAAGUCGAACGGAAAGGCCCCUUUGGGGGUACUCGAGUGGCGAACGGGUGAGUAACACGUGAGUAACCUGCCCUUGACUUCGGGAUAACUUCAGGAAACUGGGGCUAAUACCGGAUAGGAAUCCUUGCUGCAUGGUGGGGGUUGGAAAGCUUCGGCGGUUUUGGAUGGACUCGCGGCUUAUCAGCUUGUUGGUGGGGUAGUGGCUUACCAAGGCUUUGGCGGGUAGCCGGCCUGAGAGGGCGACCGGCCACAUUGGGACUGAGAUACGGCCCAGACUCCUACGGGAGGCAGCAGUGGGGAAUAUUGCACAACGGGCGGAAGCCUGAUGCAGCAACGCCGCGUGCGGGAUGACGGCCUUCGGGUUGUAAACCGCUUUCAGCAGGGGCGAAGCUUGUGGUGACGGUACCUGCAGAAGAAGCACCGGCUAACUACGUG